GCAGGUGCUCUGACUAGGUUGCACUACUGUGCUCUGAGAAGCAGUGCAAUGAUAUUGUCAAAGCAUCUGGGACCA
rnacentral:pre_miRNA from 1 species